AGGCUUUCAAUGACGAAAGGAGGACUCGGAGUUGUAUGGAAACGUGAUCCUGAAGCCCUGUGCAGACGUGCAGCUGCCCACAGUGGCCACAGACAGCUGAGGCUGUGAGGCGACCACAGAGCCCACGCCCUCCUGAGCCAUAUUCUUGAACAGCCCAUCUCAAGUGUGACUGCCCCAAAAGACCGGUUUAAAAUGGAAACAACUUCUUUGGGUGAGCAGCGGGAGCAC
rnacentral:lncRNA from 1 species